rnacentral:lncRNA from 1 species
AACCAACUAGUAAUACAUAAACAACUGGUUGGGUAAUUUACAGACGAUUAUGCCAUAACAACUAGAACAAGUGAAAGUUAAGCAAAAUGAAAGAGUAAUAAGUUCCACAAUACGAUAACAAAUUCAGAGUGUUUGCAGCGGAAAAACGUGUGAGUUAUGCAUAUGGAGAUGCAUACUCAAGGUUUCAUUACAUAUCCAUCAAAAGAAUUCCCGCUCAACACCAAACCAUUCCAUCGCCUGCUCAACCUGCACAUUUAGAAAUACAUGCAGG